rnacentral:rRNA from 1 species
CCUACGGGUGGCAGCAGUGAGGAAUAUUGGUCAAUGGACGAGAGUCUGAACCAGCCAAGUAGCGUGAAGGAUGACUGCUCUAUGGGUUGUAAACUUCUUUUAUAUGGGAAUAAAAUGUUCCACGUGUGGGAUUUUGUAUGUACCAUAUGAAUAAGGAUCGGCUAACUCCGUGCCAGCAGCCGCGGUAAUACGGAGGAUCCGAGCGUUAUCCGGAUUUAUUGGGUUUAAAGGGAGCGUAGGUGGAUUGUUAAGUCAGUUGUGAAAGUUUGCGGCUCAACCGUAAAAUUGCAGUUGAAACUGGCAGUCUUGAGUACAGUAGAGGUGAGCGGAAUUCGUGGUGUAGCGGUGAAAUGCUUAGAUAUCACGAAGAACACCAGUGGCGAAGGCAGUUCACUGGACUGCAACUGACACUGAGGCUCGAAAGUGUGGGUAUCAAACAGGAUUAGAUACCCCAGUAGUC